rnacentral:hammerhead_ribozyme from 1 species
AUGCGCGCUGAUGAGUGCCAAAUAGGACGAAACGCGCGUUCCGAAU